CUGGAGGAAGGCGGGGCGCCCCGUUGCUAGGGCCGCGCUGUUGCUAGGGCCGCGGCAGAGCGCUGUGGCGGCAGCCGCUGCCUUGCCGGCCCGCCGCCUCUGCCUCCGCCUGGCCGGGGCGAUGGUGAAGCUCUCCGCCAAGUGCCUGCUGGCAGGUGAUCCAGCUGUGGGGAAGAGUGCUUUAGCCCAGAUGUUCCGCAAUGAUGGGGCUCAUUUUCAGAAGAACUAUACAUUGACAACGGGCAUUGAACUGUUGGUGAAGGCUAUAUCAGUUCCAGAGACAAGUGAUAGUGUGGAAUUCUUCAUUUUUGACUCUGCAGGAAAAGAUCUAUUUUCUGAGAUGCUGGAGAAACUGUGGGACCAACCAAAUGUCCUGUGCCUUGUGUAUGAUGUCACUAAUGAGCAAUCUUUCAACAACUGUGCCAAGUGGCUGGAAAAGCUGAGGGCACAAGCAGUUGGAAUGCACAUCCCAGGUGUCUUAGUGGGGAAUAAAACAGAUCUGGUUGGUCGUCGAGUUGUGGAACAGAAGCAAGCACAGGAAUGGGCUGACAAACAUGGCCUGGAAUACUGUGAGAUAUCAGUGAAGGAGAUGAAAAAUUUUGAGGCCCCCUUCAACAUACUGGCAAAGUCAUUCUGCCAGCUGUACAAAGAAAAAGUGGAAACCUUUCACUCACUGGCUUGAGGGCUGUGACUGGGAUGGCUUAACUUCUGAGCUUCUUCUAGUGCCCAGAAUCCUAUUGGACUGGAAUGCAGUGAGAGGAAAAAAGAUGAGCUUUUUGCUUCUUCACAAUCAUCUUCUGGGCUCACUGCCAAUGCACAGAGACCCAGUGGACCUGGGAAUGUAAAUGCCACUGUUCUAGUGCAGGGUGUUUCCUGCUUGCUGAACUGCAAUGUACCUGAGCAUCUGCAACCUGUGGACUGCAUAUUUCCAGUGUACCUGUUUGACUGCUAGGAGCUGUUUAUGACGGCAGGUCAGACAUUUAUUUAUCAUUUUAUUCUCCUUCCUCUUGCCCUUUUUCCUCACAAUGUAUUCUCAGUGGAAAAGGAGACGUGAAAAGAAAACAGUGCCCAAAUUAACAGGCACCUUCUUAAUUCUUCUGCCUCAUGUCAUAGAUGCCACUUUGCUUUGCUGCCUGACUCUACCACCACCCCUCUCUUUGACCAUUUCUUUUCUCUUCUGUUCUUUGCUGUAUCUUUUUUCACCUCCUUCUUUACACCUUCCUUCAGCUUUCUGCCAUUUUAAUUUUAUACUCUUCCCUCUAACUUCACCCCCCUUUCUCUAUUAUGUUCUAGGCUUCCAGGUUAUGUGCCUCCCCUCAUUGUUUCAGCUUAUUCCUUCUGGUUUCCCUGUCUCUCUUCUUUUGCUCCUUUUAAUCUCUCCCUGAUUCCUUCAUCUCCUCCUGUCUGUGCCUGUCUGCCUGCUUUCUCUCACUCACUGUCUGUCUCUUUUGAACUGGGUUGUGAAUUCUGUCGGCAUCUGAGUGGGACAAACUGUAAAACUGAGGUUCCCGGAGGGCCAGAUUGUGAUCAUUUUAUUUUUACAAUGUCCUUGGAUGUAUAAAGGUGUUUGUUUGAGGGGGAGGAGCAGUGCAUGUGCUCCAUGUGGGAGAAUAGAGGGGAGUGCAGGCCAGAACAAGUGAAGCUUGAAACUAAUAUAGGUCAGCUGCAGAGAAAGUCCCAGUGGUCUGUGAAACAGAGAAGUGGUUUGACACUUCAGACUGGCUACUGGAAAGAUGGCAACUGAACAGUUUUAUCCAAAUGACGCAAGCAACCUGGAAAAGUGUCCUAUGAAAGAGUGCAGAAGUGGUGAGCAUGGGAGGAGAGCCAAGCCCUGCAAAGGCUCUGCUCAUCUCCAGCCACCUCCUUAACACAGGGAAUAACCAGCCUGAAAUUCCACGUUCAUGCCUCUGAGCUGUCUUCUAUGUGCAACCCUCUCACCCUACAUGAAAUGGGGAACACAGCUGAGAUAUGCCUCACUGUGCCCCCUGCCAGACCUGCUCAUGAGGUCAGAGCUGGCAACAACAGAGCAAAGAGAUUAGUGGAGCACCAAGGAGGACUGUACCCCCAAACCCUUGAAGAUGUUUGGCCAACCUCUGCUGAGGAUGGUGCUGUGAAGGAGCCUCACACUGCUAGCGGAGAGACAUCACCAAGGCUCUGAGUCUGGCCUGGUCAAGCUGAAAGAACCAAGUGCUCUCCCUGGCACUGCUGGGAAUUGAUUUGCUCUGCAUAAGAGUCCUCACUCGCCAUGAUUUUCCACAGACUGUAAACUCUGCUCUCAGACCUUUCCCAGAAAAUUUCACAAGAGGCUACUAUCUGCAGUGAAUGAUUGAAAGUAGCAAAUCCUGAUGAGUAACUUCUGAUUUCAUUUCUAUUAAAAAAUUUUUGUUGGUAUAAGAGUCAUCUGUUAAGAUGACGUUUAGAUAUCAAAACAGACAUCCAGAUUUUCAGAGUCAUUUGGAGCCUCUUCAUCUCUGUAAAAUCAAUGUGAGAUGCUGACUGCUCAGCAUAACUGAAAAUCAGGACAGUUCUUCAAUGUCUAAACACGGAGUUAGAAGCCUAAAUACACAGGUGUUUUGCUUUCUUUUUAAAAUAGGCCCCUAUUCUCAAGAAAGGCAAUGUCACCUCUCUACAGCUUCUGUUCAUGUACACUUUUCUGUGCAUCUCCAUAAUGCUUUGGUCUAGCAUCUGACUGUCUUAACUCAGUGUGUUUAAGCUAAUUCCUCCAUAGGAAUUCGCUCUCUGGAUCCUACACAGUUACGAAGGUAAUACAAAACCAAAUCCUAGGAAUUCAUAUGGUGGCUCUGCGGCCACAAUAUACCAGCUGGCUUCCACUGAAACAGUGUCUGAAGUACAAGUACAUUUCAUGAGAUGCCUCCCUGAUGAUAAGAUACUACAAAAAUAAAUCCUCAUUUUAAAAUGAGUUGCCUGUUAUCAUUGAUGUCUGUGGGACCCAGUGAUUAUGAAUUUUCUAAGAUUCCGCACUCAUUGAGCUCUCAGGUGCUGGGAUCCAUGUUUCUCUUGAUUUGUCCCUCUAAAAAGUCGGAGGGACGAUAUCAUCUCUCCCAGAGGCUAACCAUUUUUCUUAAUUUGGUUAUGAUGUUCUUUCAAGAGUCUUUUUUUUUUCUUACUGAGCAUCAGAGAAAUUAAAAGUUCAGUAUUCCUUCCCUGAUACCAUAAGCUAUGUGAAAGAAGAAGAGCUAAGGAUGCCCUAAAGAAGACAACUGGCUCUAUAGCUCCUCUGCAGAAGGAUUACCUGUGUUGUUACCUCCAGACCUAGUUUGUCCCAUCCAGGAAGCCUCAGCAAUGCUUCUGUGGCUGUUGAGGACCAGAGGCAAAAGCUGGUGUUUAGGAUAGACUGUGGCUUUAAAUGAUAAUACUGAAUAGAUGAGGCUGCAUAGGAUCCUCUUUGUCCUCAUCUGCGCCCUUUACACUGGAAGUAAGUCUGAUAGCAGAGAACACUGAUCAAGGUCAACAUGAAGCAUCCUCACUGUAGGCCUCACCUUUCCUCCAGCAUUUAUCACUGUCCUGAUAUUUCCAGGAAGCUUCCAAAAACCAUCAAUUCAGAAAAAAAGAAACCCAACAACUUAUCUUUCUCGCCUUAUUCUUUACAAUUCUCUGAUUACUGCUAUGUCUACAUGAAAACAGGCUUUUUUCUUCUUUAAGAGUCAAACUGCAGCUGCUGCAUAUUUCCUCACAUCCCUGACCAUGAGAGGUGGAUCUGGUGUGAGUUCUGGUUAUAGUUAAUUGACAGAUGGGCAACAGAUUUAUUAUGAACAAGACCAAGUUAUUUGUCCCCAUAUUUCAUGUAGUUCCAGUGAGAUGCAUUGCUGUACGAUCUGUUCUGCAGACCUUUUCCCUUGUGUCUUGACUUUAGAGCAGAUUCUGAUCACAAAGCCAGUGCUAUAUUCUUUUUACUAACUUUUUGUGAGGAAUAUGUGAGUCAGCUUGGUUUUUUUUUUCUCCUCUUAUUUGUAUCCUUUAGCUCUGCUUUUCAGGCAUUCGUUUAUUCAGGUAUCAAGGCUCUCUACCUCUUUGCCCUGUUUCCUGGAAUAUGCUUCCAGGACUGGAAGUAUGUGGAUGUCUGUGAGAACUGUGUAUGCCUGAUUUUCCACAUGGAUGGAAAAAAAAAAAAAAAGAUUUAGAUGAAGAAUCUGUGGAUACGGAAACGGAGUAGGAAUGGCGUAUGAAUAAGCAGGUCUUGAACAGGAUCUCUCUGGGACAUAGUUUAUCAAGGAGUAAGGUUGUGCAGAGGAAUGCAUUUAUUUACACACAGGAUGGACCAGCAAGAAGGUAGCCUUGAAUUGUAGACAAGUGUAGAAUAAUGUGCACUUCAGAGUGGAAAAUUAUGAGGGACAGCAUCUGAGUGAGUAGGGUAGUGUCUUUCGUUUAAUGCAGUUAAGCAAAUAUAUGGAAUAGACAUCCUGAUGAGUAUGGGGAAUUUUCUCACAACUAAUUUUCUCUUCUAGUCUUAUUCAGUAAGUUUGCAUGUGUAUGCAUGUAUAUCCUCGCUGAGGAUAUCCAUACUGUAAUUCCAGCUAGAGUGACUGGUUAGCAGCCUGCCCUCUGUUACAGUUAAUGGGUUGCAGGCAUUGAUUUUUUUUUUUCUAUUCCUAUUGAUUAGGAGGCUGCUGCCCACACAAACCUCAGCACAGCACGAAAAGGGGAAGAGAGGCAAAACAGUUCUCAUCCCAGCAAUUCAUCAUGGUGGAAAAUUCAUGCUGGGAUUCCCAAUCUUCUCUCACUAUGUCUUUCAAGUAGAGAAGGACACCUUUCCCUUUUUGAAGAAUUCAGUCCAUAAGGCUCAUGAGAUGACUUCUUUUUCUUCCUGCCAUUUGAGGUAGCAAACAUUUCAAAGGUUACCAUUCAAUGGAAAAAACGUUGUGUGAGACAAGGGAGUCUUGCACUGGAAGCACAGGUGCUUUAGCUUCAAGACUCAGUGUGCAACGUAUUUCUUGGACAACCGUCAGCACUCAAUUCAUUUAUGACAAUACUCAAAUCUCACUAACAUCAGUGCAUUGACUUUGGCUUUGGUGGGGUUUGUGAUUUCAGUGCCUCAGUGCCUUCACAAAGUGUUACAUUAUAAGAGUGUUAUAUGGGUAAAUGAUUAUUUUUUUUUUUUGCCAAGUAUUUGUCUUAGACGAGGAUGUAUGUCAGAAACUGAGGGAGUUACAUACUACAGCCUUAUACUCUCACACUUUGUCCACUUGUAUCAAAUGCAGUUUUUUUUAUGCACUCUUGGGAUAGCCCCAGCAUCACUUUUAUCUCCCUUCUUUUUUUUUUUUUCCCUUCCGAUCAUAGUUUUAUGCUAGAGAAGAAUUUCAUAUCGUAUUCAAAUAUUUUAUGUUUACACUGUCUUUUAUGUUGAUCCUCAAGUUAAAAAACCUGAAGUUAAGGAGAGAGGACCACUGGGCAUUUGUACAUCUGUAUUUAUCUCUCUAUCAUCUCCACAUGUGAUUCUCUGACAAAACACAAAUUUUCUUCUUUCUUCAGUUUGCUCGUUUGUUAAAUUGGUCUAAGAAAAUCACCAGCAUGCGGAUAUGAUGUAAAUAAUGUUUCUUACAUAUUUUGGGUCCCCCAGCUUUGAAUGCCAGCGAUGACUGCUCUGAUCACCCUCUUUGCUUGUCUAAACACACAGAUAUAUGGGGUUUUUUUCAGCCUUCUCCAGUGAAACUUCUUAAAUAUUAAUUCCUUUUCUGGAUCAUAUCUCACUUCUGUCUUUCUGCCCCAUUGGUUUUCAGUUCUAUAAUCAUCACUCUAACCCCAAUUUAUUUUUUCUAACAUCUCCUCUGCUGGUGCAUCUGUCUAUUAACACCUCUGCUCUGCCUGCAAAUACAACUGCAUCAACUCCAUCUCUUUUACAUCUCAUUACAGCAGCUCCUUCUGAGGUGGCCUGCCCAGUAUGAAGAUUCCUAGAUACCAAAUCGCUGUCUGAUUUUAUUCUGAGCUAAAAUUCUCCUCUGGAGCACUUGAUCCACAGAUACUCUAUUCAGCUCCAUUACCAUCCCAUGGAGUUGCUUCCGAUUUCAUGCCCUUCAUCUCCCUUCCUGUAUCUUUUUCAUGCCCCUUUCUUUCCUACAGCACUGCCCCUUCUCUCCACAAAUAGCAGCACUCUUGGUUUGCCAUUGGAAGCAGACUUCCUGCAGCUCCCUGUCUCAUCAGCUUCUCAUUUCAAGUAAUUUAAAAUGUAAUUUAAAAUCUCUCUAUUUCCUCCAGACUAUUAAUUUCUCUCUCCUUACUCUUCUAUAGAUGUCAUUCUGUGUUGCACUAUUCAGUAAGAUGCGGCUGUUGUAAAAUUCUGCCACAGUGUUUUUAAUCUGUAUUCUUGUUUUGUAUUAUCAUUUUUAAUGAUUCUUUGUAGGAAAGAUGAAAUCUCAGCACAGCAUCUAGCCACAGCACAAGCAGUCACACAGGACAUUCUGGCAUUUGCAUUGCCUUUGUUCCGUUCUUCUCCAGUGGCAUUUAGAACAACUGUAGAGGGAUUAUUGUGAAUGGCUUAAGAGGAUAUAAGUAGGGUAGCAGGAAGAGAAUUAUUUCUGAAAAUUGUGAAGUAUGAGGCAGGAAUUCACCUUUAGUCUUGAUCCUGAGACAUAAUGAACCAUCACAGGACCCACUGCUCUUAGCCAGAGAUUAAAGAACUCAUUGUCCUGCAGACCUGGCCUUCUUAUACUGGCAGAUUUUUGGGGGAGAAUGUGCCCCUAUCCUGUUGCUAGAGUCAUUUGAAAUCAAACUUGUCAAAUCUGUAGAAAUAUAUAAUAAAGGCAACAAUUACAGAUUAGUUUGAGGGCCUCUGUUUUGGCCCAGCUUCUGCUUCAUCCUCUGAAAUUGUCUGAAUUAGUCAAAUGUAAAGAUAAGUAAUCCAGGAGUUCCAGCAGUAUUUUUCUAGGUAUAGAUGAAAUCUGUAAUUUCUCUCUGUGUUUGGAUGCCUUGGAAAUCCCAGUCUUCUGCAGUGACUGUUUGCUCACUCUACUUGUCUCACUCUACUCAGAUACCAACAGAAGCUACCAAAAGACAGCUCCCAUUUGUGCAGGCCCACACACCCUGAUCUGAAGGGGCAUUCCAAUUUGUCACAGUAAAAUAAACACUUAACCACAUGGGCUGCACAGGGGAGCCCUCAGUGAAAAUACACCUUCUCUUCCUAUCUUCUUCGAGUGACCCUGCUGAUUGAGAACAAGUGAGGUUCCAUAAGGCCUGAGUCCUUUCUGCCUCCACUCACUCCAGCCAGGCUGCUCUGUGACAUUACUGUAAGAGCUGUAUUGCACUAUUUUGAGUGCCUAAAGUAACUGAGGAGCCCGCUUUGCUUGGACAGAUUUCCAUUGUGUCUUUCCCUUCCAUGUGCUCAGUGUUGGUGCCUGAUGGAUUUUAGUGCCAGCAUAGUCUGCCGAAAUUUUUCCUCUUCAGAGUCUUCCAGGCUCCUUGCCCUGCUUUUCUGCCUUCCUUUGAAGAAUGGGACCUCAGCGGUGGGUUGGACUUGGAGAGGAAUGACCACCAACACAAAAAUAAAUGGCUCAGAACUGCCAGAAUGACACAUUCAUCCCUUAUGCUUCCUUCUUUCAGCAGAAAGCACUCAGGAGCAGAGAAAUCCUAGGGUGAUCUUCUUUAGCUUCCCUAGCUAAAAGCCUCAGAGAACCUCCUCCUCAUCACAAGCCAUCCCUGUAGAGCCAUAAUCUCCCACUGUCUUAGGGGGAUUCUCUGUAACUCUCCACCCUUCAGUUGAACAAAGACCAACAGUUCAGAGAGACUGCCCACAGCUACCAUGCUCUCCACUAUUCCACCAGGCUGAAAUACACAGCCCACAAGGGCCACCUCCUCCCUUGCCCAUCCUCAGCUGUUUGGCAGCUCAAUGAGUGCCAAAAAAAAAAAAAAAAAAAAAGCUUUUUCAAGAGAGAAGGAGGCCAGGACUCUCCCAGGGGGGCUAGGAACUGUGGUUGUACCCCAGCAAUGUAUUAGUGGGCUCAACCUGCACUGUCACCUGCUUCAUCCCCCAUCCCUUCUCCUGCCUCCCCAGGACCUGCUGGUAGCAAUCCGCAUACGGCUGAUGCCACAGACCAUCCGUGCUUGCUGGUAAACUCCCCACUGUGUUCUCAGCUCCCUGCUGAACAGAGGAAAUGCUCAGCUGCCUUUCCUGCCCCCUCCUUGCCUGCUGCUUGCCAUAGAGUCCUUCAUGUCCAACAGUCCUGGAGGACACUGUUCUGAAAUGGCAGCCCCAGGCUGCACCCGGAGAAUGACAAUGGAGGAGAGAAAUGGAGUUAUGAAAUUACGAAGUGGCUGAAGCCCUCCAACUGGUUCAACUAGCCGGCACCCCCUCCCCUCAGCCCCUUAAUUCCCCUAGAAGAGCAGUGAACCUAAAGCAGCCCUUCUGGUCUCUCGUUCACUGAACAAUGAAUCUGAUCAGAGAGAAACAAAAUCGGAAGCAUCAUGAAUUAGAUGAUUUCUUUUCUUUAUGAUUGCUGCAUUAAUGAGCAGCUACAUGUAUAGAACAAGGAGGUGACUAAUGUAAUUAACCUGAUGUAAUGAUACUGCUGAAGAAGGGAGAGACAGUUAUGACAUACUAAGAUGUUAGCAUUGCACAAUUUUAUACACAUUCUUGGUACUAUCAAGUUGUGUCUGACACAGAAACUUAAGCAGUGAUAGAUUUCAGUCUGCAUCCAUUCAUCUCAUGCAUCUUUCUGUGGAAAAUGAGGAUUGAAAGGUGGGAUACUUUCCAGGUUGAGGGAGAGGAAUUCAGUUUGGCGGUCCCUUUCCUUAGCAAAAUCACAGUAACAACAAGAAAUCGCCCUUUGUCAUGAAGAAUCUUCCCAAAAUGUCUGCUUCUUGAAGCAAGCUAUGGGAUUUAACAGAAACCUAUGAAGAGAAAGUCAAAACGCAGGGAUUCGCACAACAUUGGUCAGGGGGAGACAGAGGGACGGAAAACGAGCAACACCAAAACAUAUGCAACUUGCAGCAAAGCCGAGAAGAGUGAGAAGUGAGCACUUAAAAAUAAUAACGACAACAAAAAUAAGAUAAAUAAAAGCUUAUUUUUAAAUUA